AGAAUUGUAGCUCAGUGAUAGAGCAUCUGUCUUGCAUGCAGGGGGCCUCGGGUUCAAUCCCCAGCCUCUCCA